rnacentral:rRNA from 1 species
GGGUUGUGAGGUUAAGCGACUAAGCGUACACGGUGGAUGCCCUGGCAGUCAGAGGCGAUGAAGGACGUGCUAAUCUGCGAAAAGCGUCGGUAAGGUGAUAUGAACCGUUAUAACCGGCGAUGUCCGAAUGGGGAAACCCAGUGCAAUUCGUUGCACUAUCGUUAACUGAAUACAUAGGUUAACGAGGCGAACCGGGGGAACUGAAACAUCUAAGUACCCCGAGGAAAAGAAAUCAACCGAGAUUCCCCCAGUAGCGGCGAGCGAACGGGGAGCAGCCCAGAGUCUGAAUCAGCUUGUGUGUUAGUGGAACGGUCUGGAAAGUCCGACGGUACAGGGUGAUAGUCCCGUACACCAAAAUGCACAGGCUGUGAACUCGAAGAGUAGGGCGGGACACGUGGUAUCCUGUCUGAAUAUGGGGGGACCAUCCUCCAAGGCUAAAUACUCCUGACUGACCGAUAGUGAACCAGUACCGUGAGGGAAAGGCGAAAAGAACCCCGGCGAGGGGAGUGAAAAAGAACCUGAAACCGUGUACGUACAAGCAGUGGGAGCACCUUCGGGUGUGACUGCGUACCUUUUGUAUAAUGGGUCAGCGACUUAUAUUCUGUAGCAAGGUUAACCGUAUAGGGGAGCCGCAGGGAAACCGAGUCUUAACUGGGCGUUAAGUUGCAGGGUAUAGACCCGAAACCCGGUGAUCUAGCCAUGGGCAGGUUGAAGGUUGGGUAACACUAACUGGAGGACCGAACCGACUAAUGUUGAAAAAUUAGCGGAUGACUUGUGGCUGGGGGUGAAAGGCCAAUCAAACCGGGAGAUAGCUGGUUCUCCCCGAAAGCUAUUUAGGUAGCGCCUCGUGAACUCAUCUUCGGGGGUAGAGCACUGUUUCGGCUAGGGGGUCAUCCCGACUUACCAACCCGAUGCAAACUACGAAUACCGAAGAAUGUUAUCACGGGAGACACACGGCGGGUGCUAACGUCCGUCGUGAAGAGGGAAACAACCCAGACCGCCAGCUAAGGUCCCAAAGUCAUGGUUAAGUGGGAAACGAUGUGGGAAGGCACAGACAGCCAGGAUGUUGGCUUAGAAGCAGCCAUCAUUUAAAGAAAGCGUAAUAGCUCACUGGUCGAGUCGGCCUGCGCGGAAGAUGUAACGGGGCUAAACCAUGCACCGAAGCUGCGGCAGCGACACUAUGUGUUGUUGGGUAGGGGAGCGUUCUGUAAGCCUGCGAAGGUGUGCUGUGAGGCAUGCUGGAGGUAUCAGAAGUGCGAAUGCUGACAUAAGUAACGAUAAAGCGGGUGAAAAGCCCGCUCGCCGGAAGACCAAGGGUUCCUGUCCAACGUUAAUCGGGGCAGGGUGAGUCGACCCCUAAGGCGAGGCCGAAAGGCGUAGUCGAUGGGAAACAGGUUAAUAUUCCUGUACUUGGUGUUACUGCGAAGGGGGGACGGAGAAGGCUAUGUUAGCCGGGCGACGGUUGUCCCGGUUUAAGCAUGUAGGCUGGUUAUCCAGGCAAAUCCGGAUAAUCAAGGCUGAGGUGUGAUGACGAGGCACUACGGUGCUGAAGUAACAAAUGCCCUGCUUCCAGGAAAAGCCUCUAAGCAUCAGGUAACAUCAAAUCGUACCCCAAACCGACACAGGUGGUCAGGUAGAGAAUACCAAGGCGCUUGAGAGAACUCGGGUGAAGGAACUAGGCAAAAUGGUGCCGUAACUUCGGGAGAAGGCACGCUGGUGUGUAGGUGAAGCCCCUGCGGGUGGAGCUGAGACCAGUCGAAGAUACCAGCUGGCUGCAACUGUUUAUUAAAAACACAGCACUGUGCAAACACGAAAGUGGACGUAUACGGUGUGACGCCUGCCCGGUGCCGGAAGGUUAAUUGAUGGGGUUAUCCGUAAGGAGAAGCUCUUGAUCGAAGCCCCGGUAAACGGCGGCCGUAACUAUAACGGUCCUAAGGUAGCGAAAUUCCUUGUCGGGUAAGUUCCGACCUGCACGAAUGGCGUAAUGAUGGCCAGGCUGUCUCCACCCGAGACUCAGUGAAAUUGAACUCGCUGUGAAGAUGCAGUGUACCCGCGGCAAGACGGAAAGACCCCGUGAACCUUUACUAUAGCUUGACACUGAACAUUGAGCCUUGAUGUGUAGGAUAGGUGGGAGGCUUUGAAGCGUGGACGCCAGUCUGCGUGGAGCCAACCUUGAAAUACCACCCUUUAAUGUUUGAUGUUCUAACGUUGGCCCCUUACCGGGGUUGCGGACAGUGUCUGGUGGGUAGUUUGACUGGGGCGGUCUCCUCCCAAAGCGUAACGGAGGAGCACGAAGGUUAGCUAAUCCUGGUCGGACAUCAGGAGGUUAGUGCAAUGGCAUAAGCUAGCUUGACUGCGAGCGUGACGGCGCGAGCAGGUGCGAAAGCAGGUCAUAGUGAUCCGGUGGUUCUGAAUGGAAGGGCCAUCGCUCAACGGAUAAAAGGUACUCCGGGGAUAACAGGCUGAUACCGCCCAAGAGUUCAUAUCGACGGCGGUGUUUGGCACCUCGAUGUCGGCUCAUCACAUCCUGGGGCUGAAGUAGGUCCCAAGGGUAUGGCUGUUCGCCAUUUAAAGUGGUACGCGAGCUGGGUUUAGAACGUCGUGAGACAGUUCGGUCCCUAUCUGCCGUGGGCGCUGGAGAAUUGAGGGGGGCUGCUCCUAGUACGAGAGGACCGGAGUGGACGCAUCACUGGUGUUCGGGUUGUCAUGCCAAUGGCACUGCCCGGUAGCUAAAUGCGGAAGAGAUAAGUGCUGAAAGCAUCUAAGCACGAAACUUGCCCCGAGAUGAGUUCUCCCUGAGACUUUAAGUCUCCUGAAGGAACGUUAAAGACGAUGACGUUGAUAGGCCGGGUGUGUAAGCGCAGCGAUGCGUUGAGCUAACCGGUACUAAUGAACCGUGAGGCUUAACCUUACAACGCCGAAG